ACUCCUACGGGAGGCAGCAGUGGGGAAUAUUGCACAAUGGGCGCAAGCCUGAUGCAGCCAUGCCGCGUGUGUGAAGAAGGCCUUCGGGUUGUAAAGCACUUUCAGUCGUGAGGAAGGUAGUGUAGUUAAUAGCUGCAUUAUUUGACGUUAGCGACAGAAGAAGCACCGGCUAACUCCGUGCCAGCAGCCGCGGUAAUACGGAGGGUGCGAGCGUUAAUCGGAAUUACUGGGCGUAAAGCGCAUGCAGGUGGUUUGUUAAGUCAGAUGUGAAAGCCCGGGGCUCAACCUCGGAAUUGCAUUUGAAACUGGCAGACUAGAGUACUGUAGAGGGGGUAGAAUUUCAGGUGUAGCGGUGAAAUGCGUAGAGAUCUGAAGGAAUACCGGUGGCGAAGGCGGCCCCCUGGACAGAUACUGACACUCAGAUGCGAAAGCGUGGGGAGCGAAACAGGAUUAGAUACCCUGGUAGGACAGUG
rnacentral:rRNA from 1 species